rnacentral:rRNA from 1 species
AGCGAACAUUGGCGGCAGGCCUAACACAUGCAAGUCGAACGGAUCCUUCGGGAUUAGUGGCGGACGGGUGAGUAACGCGUGGGAACAUACCCAAAGGUACGGAAUAGCCUCGGGAAACUGGGAGUAAUACCGUAUGUGCUCGAAAGAGGAAAGAUUUAUCGCCUUUGGAUUGGCCCGCGUUGGAUUAGGUAGUUGGUGGGGUAAUGGCCUACCAAGCCGACGAUCCAUAGCUGGUUUGAGAGGAUGAUCAGCCACACUGGGACUGAGACACGGCCCAGACUCCUACGGGAGGCAGCAGUGGGGAAUCUUAGACAAUGGGGGAAACCCUGAUCUAGCCAUGCCGCGUGAUCGAUGAAGGCCUUAGGGUUGUAAAGAUCUUUCAGGUGGGAAGAUAAUGACUGUACCACCAGAAGAAGCCCCGGCUAACUCCGUGCCAGCCGCCGCUGUAA